rnacentral:rRNA from 1 species
AGUGAACGCUGGCGGUAGGCCUAACACAUGCAAGUCGAACGGCAGCACAGUAAGAGCUUGCUCUUACGGGUGGCGAGUGGCGGACGGGUGAGGAAUACAUCGGAAUCUACUUUUUCGUGGGGGAUAACGUAGGGAAACUUACGCUAAUACCGCAUACGACCUACAGGUGAAAGCAGGGGAUCUUCGGACCUUGCGCGAUUGAAUGAGCCGAUGUCGGAUUAGCUAGUUGGCGGGGUAAAGGCCCACCAAGGCGACGAUCCGUGGCUGGUCUGAGAGGAUGAUCAGCCACACUGGAACUGAGACACGGUCCAGACUCCUACGGGAGGCAGCAGUGGGGAAUAUUGGACAAUGGGCGCAAGCCUGAUCCAGCCAUACCGCGUGGGUGAAGAAGGCCUUCGGGUUGUAAAGCCCUUUUGUUGGGAAAGAAAAGCAGCAGGUUAAUACCCCGCUGUUCUGACGGUACCCAAAGAAUAAGCACCGGCUAACUUCGU